GAAUACUAAAAGAAAAAACUGAAUUCAAGUGAUUAGUACAAUUAUGUUAAAACUGGUAAAAGAUGUAAAAUAAUGGAAAAAGAAACUUUUAAAUGAUAUUUUUAUAUAAAAUUAAUUUAAUCAUACUGUUAAAUAUAUUUAAACCCUAAUACUAAAAUUGAAAAACAAAUCCGACCUGCCGGAUUUGAACCAGCGACCUAA
rnacentral:lncRNA from 1 species